ensembl:snRNA U6 U6 spliceosomal RNA
GUGUUCAUUUAGGCAGCACAUAUACCAAAAUUGGAACGAUACAGAGAAGACUAGCAUGGCCCCUCAGCAAGGAUGAUGAAAUAUCUUAUUUCUCCCUUGAUUCU